rnacentral:rRNA from 1 species
AUUGAACGCUGGCGGCAGGCCUAACACAUGCAGGUCGAACGGUAACAGGAAGAAGCUUGCUUCUUUGCUGACGAGUGGCGGACGGGUGAGUAAUGUCUGGGAAACUGCCUGAUGGAGGGGGAUAACUACUGGAAACGGUAGCUAAUACCGCAUAACGUCGCAAGACCAAAGAGGGGGACCUUCGGGCCUCUUGCCAAUCGGAUGUGCCCAGAUGGGAUUAGCUAGUAGGUGGGGUAACGGCUCACCUAGGCGACGAUCCCUAGCUGGUCUGAGAGAUGACCAGCCACACUGGAACUGAGACAGGUCCAGACUCCUAC